CUAGACCCGUCCAUCAGAAAAACGGGGGACCUUUUUGGUCUUCUUCAUCUUAAUUUCUGAAAAAACACCACAAAACCAGAAACUCCCUUCACUCAUGCACACUCAAUUUUCACUCUCGAAUCGAAGACGCACAUAGAGAAACGCCAAAGAUUUAAAGAGCAAACUUUUCAAAAUUUCAAAGAAAACAUAACAGAUCUAAAAGUCCGAAAAAAAGAGUUUCGAACAAAAUCAAAAGAAGAAGAAAGCUGGAAUUAGAGGGAUCGGCUUCGAUUUCUCUUGGCUUGGUGUUGAUUUUCUGGUUUUAGAUCAGGUGUUCUGCCGAUGUUCUUCUAUGCUGGGGCUUGAACUUUAAAUCCUCUGUUCUCGGACCUUUACCUGGUCAGUUUCUGCUAUUACUUUGCUGUUAGGUGUGCCGGGUUCCUCUAUAAUUACUUACCGAAGCCGUUCAAUUAAGUUCUGAGUUGCUUACGCUGUAUUGAUGCCUAACUUUGUGCAAUUGCCGUGCUUAAUUAUUGGAGUUAUUUACAUCUGUUAAGUCUGCCAACAUUUAGUUUUGAUUGUCUGUUGUUGAACGGAAAAUUUGAGUAUGAGGUCGUUCAUUAUACUCGAAUAUUAUGCUACAGGUUUAGUUCAUUUGAUUGUCCACUGAUUUGUUACAACCCUCUUCCUAUAUGGUGUAUUUUGGUUUAUUAGCAUGUGUAAAAUUUUCCAUUUGAUUUAGUUUCAAACUUUGAGGAAUCCAUAAAUCAGUUAAUUCGCCAUGUUCAAGUUAAUUUUGAGUCUGUAGUUUAACGAUUUUCAUCCACUUGAAUUUAUGAAAUGGAUUGCUAGGGGAUUAAAUAUGCCUCGAACUCUCAUAUAUUAGAGCCACUAGAAGCCACAGUGGUUCAUAUUGCUAUACUUACAGUGUAUUCAUUUGAGCU
rnacentral:lncRNA from 1 species